CAUGGUUUCAAGGAAGAUGAGAUGGAGAGAUACAACAUACAUGGAGAAAUCUGUGUCUCUAUCAUAAAGGUCUGUGUGUGUAUCAUGAAGAGGGAUUCAGUCGACUUUUGAAGGAACAAAUAUUUCGGCUCGUCCAUCUGAUGGCACAGACUGGAAAAGAGAAAAGCUACCGCACCAUCGUUCUCUUGGUAAUCAAGCCAAGAUCAGUCCACAUGCUGAGGGUUGCAACUCCAACACUACUAACAAGAUUUCACUGUGAUCAGCUGACUACAACAAAAUCUGACUGGAGAAAAUGAUGAAGGAAUAUAAAAUGUUGUUGCACGGACAAGCAAUCUUGGAAUACAAGCACCUCAACGGGAAAACCACUGGUAAUUGAAGCUGGUAGAGCGCUGUGACAUCUCUCGUAAACAAGCUGCCGGUUAUGGACAAGGAUCACGUCAACGUUGCUACACUCCUAAAGCAGUGGCUGUCUUCAGGUCUUUUCUGCCUCGUGGGCAAAUCUGCAUACCAGUGAUUAUAUGCGUACUUAAGUUUUGCUUUGAAGCAAUAUCAGUGCUACACUUGUGAAGCAGUGGCAGUGUUCAGGUCUUGUCUGCCUAACUGACAUAUCUGCAUACCAGUAGUUAUGGGCAGACUUGGCUCUUUCUUUGGAGCAGUACAGUUGUAAGAUAAAUCCUGUUUGUAACUUUAUAAAUGAGUUGCUCAUUAAGGGCUUACGAAGGUUUUGAUGCCUUGCUGGCAUAUCUGCAUACCAGUAAAUAUGUGCAGAUUCAUUUCUUGCUUUGAAGCAAUAUUGUAAAUUGUUGCUACACUCCUAAAGCAGUGGCAAUUGUCAGGUCUUUUCUGCCUCGCGGGCAAAUCUGCAUACCAGUAAUUAUGUGCAGACUUGGCUCUUCCAGAGAUUGUACUUGUAGGACUGGGUCCAUUGAAUGUAACAAAAAUAAUCGAUGCCUAUUUACAAAUGAAAUGAAGAGUCUGCAUUUUGGUGUAACUCCAUAUAACUGUCGGGUGAUUUCGCUCUGAACUUGUGACACUCUGAUCGGUCUGAAAUAAUCAUUAUCCCGCACCUCUGGGAAAAAUUUGCAGCCCCAUUGCCCCGUUCUGUUACUGUCUGAGAGAUGGCGAUGUCAGAGGGGAAUGGCGGUCGGCAAACCUAUUGCGAAUGGGCAGCACAAUUUGGUGUAGGAUAUUCCGAAACCAUUGCACACUCCUGAAUCUGCGGUGGGUUGGUACCCCACGCUACGUAAGGAGUAGGUUGACUGGUAAGCCUUGGUCCACGUGAAUAGGUCGUGCCUUAAAAAGAUGAGAAGUUGCGAAUUGACGCCCUGUGAAGUGUCCUUCGACCAGCUAGUGCUAAUCCGGUCACUGUCUCCAGGUCACCAUGCCUCGGUCAAUGAGCGGGCGAAGCACCCAAUGGCUCCGUCAGGAGUACAUCGUCAACUUCAGCCCGUAGUCAAACCGGUACGCGCACAAAUAUCUUAGUUGAGAGUGGGGGACAUCAGUUGCUUCUCAUCGGGGUAAUACAGUAUUGACCCCAUUUUUUGUUGGAUUCAUUUCCACUGAGGAGUGGUCGAUAAUGAGAAUUUCAAGCCAGUCUGAUUAUCACCAGUACAGAGGGCAAUUAUCUAAUAGUUAUGUGGCUUUCCCUCAAACUGUGUACUCUUUCAUGUCAAUUGUAAAUUAGUGUUGCUUGGUAGUGUUCAGGAUCUUUUUGUCGAACAGGCACAUCUGCAUACCAAGAAUUAUGUGCAAACAUAAUUUUUGCUUUGAAGCAAUGUCGUUGCUACACUCCUAAAGCAGUGGCUGUCUUCAGGUCUUUUCUGCCUCGCGGGCAAAUCUGCAUACCAGUGAUUACAUGCGUACUUAAGUUUUGCUUUGAAGCAAUAUCAGUGCUACACUUGUGAAGCAGUGGCAGUGUUCAGGUCUUGUCUGCCUAACUGACAUAUCUGCAUACCAGUAGUUAUGGGCAGACUUGGCUCUUUCUUUGGAGCAGUACAGUUGUAAGAUAAAUCCUGUUUGUAACUUUAUAAACGAGUUGCUCAUUAAGGGCUUACGAAGGUUUUGAUGCCUUGCUGGCAUAUCUGCAUACCAGUAAAUAUGUGCAGAUUCAUUUCUUGCUUUGAAGCAAUAUUGUUGCUACACUCCUAAAGCAGUGGCAAUUGUCAGGUCUUUUCUGCCUCGCGGGCAAAUCUGCAUACCAGUAAUUAUGUGCAGACUUGGCUCUUCCUGAGAUUGUACUUGUAGGACUGGGUCCAUUGAAUGUAACAAAAAUAAUCGAUGCCUAUUUACAAAUGAAAUGAAGAGUCUGCAUUUUGGUGUAACUCCAUAUAACUGUCAGGUGAUUUCGCUCUGAACUUGUGACACUCUGAUCGGUCUGAAAUAAUCAUUAUCCCGCCCCUCUGGGAAAAAUUUGCAGCCCCAUUGCCCCGUUCUGUUACUGUCUGAGAGAUGGCGAUGUCAGAGGGGAAUGGCGGUCGGCAAACCUAUUGCGAAUGGGCAGCACAAUUUGGUGUAGGAUAUUCCGAAACCAUUGCACACUCCUGAAUCUGCGGUGGGUUGGUACCCCACGCUACGUAAGGAGUAGGUUGACUGGUAAGCCUUGGUCCACGUGAAUAGGUCGUGCCUUAAAAAGAUGAGAAGUUGCGAAUUGACGCCCUGUGAAGUGUCCUUCGACCAGCUAGUGCUAAUCCGGUCACUGUCUCCAGGUCACCAUGCCUCGGUCAAUGAGCGGGCGAAGCACCCAAUGGCUCCGUCAGGAGUACAUCGUCAACUUCAGCCCGUAGUCAAACCGGUACGCGCACAAAUAUCUUAGUUGAGAGUGGGGGACAUCAGUUGCUUCUCAUCGGGGUAAUACAGUAUUGACCCCAUUUUUUGUUGGAUUCAUUUCCACUGAGGAGUGGUCGAUAAUGAGAAUUUCAAGCCAGUCUGAUUAUCACCAGUACAGAGGGCAAUUAUCUAAUAGUUAUGUGGCUUUCCCUCAAAC